GGAAUUUUGGACAAUGGGCGAAAGCCUGAUCCAGCCAUGCCGCGUGCAGGAUGAAGGCCUUCGGGUUGUAAACUGCUUUUGUACGGAACGAAAAGUCUCUUUCUAAUAAAGAGGGAUCAUGACGGUACCGUAAGAAUAAGCACCGGCUAACUACGUGCCAGCAGCCGCGGUAAUACGUAGGGUGCAAGCGUUAAUCGGAAUUACUGGGCGUAAAGCGUGCGCAGGCGGUUAUAUAAGACAGAUGUGAAAUCCCCGGGCUCAACCUGGGAACUGCAUUUGUGACUGUAUAGCUAGAGUACGGUAGAGGGGGAUGGAAUUCCGCGUGUAGCAGUGAAAUGCGUAGAUAUGCGGAGGAACACCGAUGGCGAAGGCAAUCCCCUGGACCUGUACUGACGCUCAUGCACGAAAGCGUGGGGAGCAAACAGGAUUAGAUACCCUUG
rnacentral:rRNA from 1 species